rnacentral:rRNA from 1 species
GACGAACGCUGGCGGCGUGCCUAAUACAUGCAAGUAGAACGCUGAAGGAGGAGCUUGCUUCUCUGGAUGAGUUGCGAACGGGUGAGUAACGCGUAGGUAACCUGCCUGGUAGCGGGGGAUAACUAUUGGAAACGAUAGCUAAUACCGCAUAAGAGUAGAUGUUGCACGACAUUUGCUUAAAAGGUGCAAUUGCAUCACUACCAGAUGGACCUGCGUUGUAUUAGCUAGUUGGUGGGGUAACGGCUUACCAAGGCGACGAUACAUAGCCGACCUGAGAGGGUGAUCGGCCACACUGGGACUGAGACACGGCCCAGACUCCUACGGGAGGCAGCAGUAGGGAAUCUUCGGCAAUGGACGGAAGUCUGACCGAGCAACGCCGCGUGAGUGAAGAAGGUUUUCGGAUCGUAAAGCUCUGUUGUAAGAGAAGAACGAGUGUGAGAGUGGAAAGUUGACACUGUGACGGUAUCUUACCAGAAAGGGACGGCUAACUACGUG